AUGGCUCUGUCUAACAUUCUCCAUCCCUACCUGCGCACACACACACACACACACACACACAAUUCCUACAGUAUCUCAGUCAACUAUAUACACAAAUCCUUCAAUAUAUCCUACAGUAUCAAGAUCAACUUAAACCCCUCAUCUGGUGAAAGAGGAAUAUAUAUUUUCCUCUUUCCUCCCUACCGUCCUCUUUUGCUCCCUCCCUCCUCAUACUCUCUGCAUCCUGCUCCCUCCCUCCCUCCUCAUACCUCUCUCUGCAUCCUGCUCCCUCCCUCCCUCCUCAUACCUCUCUCUGCAUCCUGCUCCCUCCCUCCCUCCCUCCUCAUACCCCUCUCUGCAUCCUGCUCCCUCCCUCCCUCCCUCCUACCUCUCUCUGCAUCCUGCUCCCUCCCUCCCUCCUCAUACCUCUCUCUGCAUCCUGCUCCCUCCUCAUACCUCUCUCUGCAUCCUGCUCCCUCCCUCCCUCCUACCUCUCUCUGCAUCCUGCUCCCUCCCUCCCUCCCUCCUCAUACCUCUCUCUGCAUCCUGCUCCCUCCCUCCCUCCCUCCUCAUACCUCUCUCUGCAUCCUGCUCCCUCCCUCCCUCCUCAUACCUCUCUCUGCAUCCUGCUCCCUCCCUCCCUCCUCAUACCUCUCUCUGCAUCCUGCUCCCUCCUCAUACCUCUCUCUGCAUCCUGCUCCCUCCCUUCUCAUACCUCUCUCUGCAUCCUGCUCCCUCCCUCCCUCCCUCCUCAUACCUCUCUGCAUCCUGCUCCCUCCCUCCCUCCCUCCUCAUACCUCUCUCUGCAUCCUGCUCCCUCCCUCCCUCCUCAUACCUCUCUCUGCAUCCUGCUCCCUCCCUCCCUCCUCUCUCUGCAUCCUGCUCCCUCCCUCCCUCCCUCCUCAUACCUCUCUCUGCAUCCUGCUCCCUCCCUCCCUCCUCAUACCUCUCUCUGCAUUCUGCUCCCUCCCUUCUCAUACCUCUCUCUGCAUCCUGCACCCUCCCUCCUCAUACCUGUCCAUCCCUCUCCCCCUCCCUCCAUCCAUCCCCAUACCUGUCCAUCUCUCUCCCUCCAUCCAUCCAUCCCCAUACCUGUCCAUCUCUCUCUCCCCCUCCUGCUCCCUCCAUCCCCAUACCUCUCUUCUUCCUCCUCCCUCCCUCCCUCCCUCUCUCUCUCUCCAUCCCCAUACCUCUCCAUCCUGA
rnacentral:lncRNA from 8 species